UUUAUACCACCAUGGAAGUGGUUCUGGUAUCUGCGGUUGAUUCCUCGGUUGAAUCAAAUUCUUGAGGACUAAAUAUGGGUACAACUCUGCGUAUCACAUAGGAAUCGGGUCAAAAGAGACCUUUUUCCUCUCGAAAUUCUGUUGUUGGUGAUGAUUGUUGUUGGAAUUGUUGUUGUUGUUGUAGGUGUUUGUUCUUUGUUGCGGUUGU
rnacentral:lncRNA from 1 species